GUACGUAGGGGGCAAGCGUUGGUCCGGAUUUAUUGGGCGUAAAGAGCGUGUAGGCGGCCGUACAGGUCAGCUGUGAAAACUCGAGGCUCAACCUCGAGACGUCGGUUGAAACCGUACGGCUAGAGUCCGGAAGAGGAGAGUGGAAUUCCCGGUGUAGCGGUGAAAUGCGCAGAUAUCGGGAAGAACACCCGUGGCGAAGGCGGCUCUCUGGGACGGUACUGACGCUGAGACGGCGAAAAGCGUGGGGAGCGAACAGG
rnacentral:rRNA from 1 species